rnacentral:rRNA from 1 species
AAUCAUGGCCAGGAUGAACGCUAGCUACAGGCUUAACACAUGCAAGUCGCGGGGCAGCAUGAAGGAUGCUUGCAUCUUUUGAUGGCGACCGGCGCACGGGUGAGUAACGCGUAUCCAACCUGCCUGUUACCACGGCACAGCCCGUCGAAAGGCGGAUUAAUGCCGUAUGUGGUCCUUUGCGGGCAUCUAAUUAGGACUAAAGGUUCGGCGGUAACGGAUGGGGAUGCGUCCGAUUAGCUAG